UAGAACACUCUGAUGGUCAGCUGUGAUUGGUGGCCGGCACUGAAAGAACCAGAAGUCCGGGGACUUUCCAGUCUGCUAAGAAGACCUUGUUGUAUUCAAACAAAUCUUUCCCUUAUGUCUAUAGCUGGAAAUGUUAUACUUUUUGUGCCCUGCCAAUAAUUUUGUGUCUACUUUCUUAUCCCAAGCAUUCAAUGCAUGGAUGCUCUGGGUCCUCAUUGCGAUGGGACUUUGCCACAUAGGCCUGGGUCCUGCCAGUGCUGCCCCUCUCUAGCAGCUGCUCGUGACAGUCAAGAGCUGAGCAGACACCAGACUUUCGCAGUGGGAAUCCGUGUGUAAAGUACUUCGCCUGUGUUCUUUCUUCUUCUGAAGUCGAGUCUUGGAACAUAGCAUUUACA
rnacentral:lncRNA from 1 species